UGGGUUGUGGCUCAGCGGAGAGCGCUCACCUCGUACGUGCGAGGCACUGGGUUCUAUCCUCAGCACCACAU
rnacentral:tRNA from 1 species